rnacentral:rRNA from 1 species
CCCUGUGGUAACCCUAAACGGCCGCGGCACUAAAACCGUGCAAAGGUAGCACAAUCACUUGUCCCUUAAAUGAGGACCCGUAUGAAAGGCAACAUGAGAGAAAACCUGUCUCCUAAGGCCAGCCAAUGAAAUUGAUCUAUCAGUACAAAAGCUGAUAUUCACAAGCAAGACAAAAAGACCCUGUGGAACUUUUAACAAGUUGUUUACACAAAAAUAAACAAUAGCUUUAGUUGGGACAACUUUAGAAAAAAUUAACUUCUUUAAUAAAUCAGACCAACAAGUCUAAACACACCCACGACCCAGUCACACUGAUUAACGAAACAAGCUACCCCAGGGAUAACAGCGCCACCUUCUUACAGAGUCCAUAUCAACAAGAAGACCUACGACCUCGAUGUUGGAUCAGGGUACCCAGACGGUGCAGCAGCUGUCAAA